GACGAACGCUGGCGGCGUGCUUAACACAUGCAAGUCGAACGGAAAGGCCCUGCUCUUGUUGGGUUCUCGAGUGGCGAACGGGUGAGUAACACGCGAGUAACCUGCCCUUGACUUUGGGAUAUCUCCAGGAAACUGGGGCUAAUAUCGGAUAGGAGCUCCUGCUGCAUGGUGGGGGUUGGAAAGUUUCGGCGGUUGGGGCUGGACUCGCGGCUUAUCAGCUUGUUGGUGGGGUAGUGGCUUACCAAGGCUUUGACGGGUAGCCGGCCUGGGAGGUUGGCCGGCCACAUUGGGACUGAGGUACGGCCCAGAAUCGUACGGGAGGCAGCAGUGGGGAAUAUUACACAGUGGGCGGAAGCCUGAUGCAGCAACGCCGCGUGCGGGAUGACGGCCUUCGGGUUGUAAACCGCUUUCGCCUGUGACGAAGCGUGAGUGACGGUAAUGGGUAAAGAAGCACCGGCUAACUACGUG
rnacentral:rRNA from 1 species